GCGGGCGUAGCCAAGUCCGGUAAGGCACGAGACUUCCAAUCUUGCAUUUCGUGGGUUCAAAUCCCACCGCCCGCUCCA
rnacentral:tRNA from 1 species